rnacentral:rRNA from 1 species
GACGAACGCUGGCGGCGUGCUUAACACAUGCAAGUCGAACGGUGAAGCGCCUUCCUUUUUGGUGGGUGUGGAUGAGUGGCGAACGGGUGAGUAACACGUGAGUAACCUGCUCCCUUCUUCUGGAUAACCGCAUGAAAGUGUGGCUAAUACGGGAUAUUCUGGGUCUGUCGCAUGAUGGGUCUGGGAAAGAUAUUGUUUCGGUGGGGGAUGGGCUCGCGGCCUAUCAGCUUGUUGGUGGGGUGAUGGCCUACUAAGGCGGUGACGGGUAGCCGGCCUGAGAGGGUGGACGGUCACACUGGGACUGAGACACGGCCCAGACUCCGACGGGAGGCAGCAGUGGGGAAUAUUGCACAAUGGGCGCAAGCCUGAUGCAGCGACGCCGCGUGAGGGAUGGAGGCCUUCGGGUUGUGAACCUCUUUCGCCAGUGAAGCAGGCCUGCCUCGUUUGUGGGUGGGUUGACGGUAGCUGGAUAAGAAGCGCCGGCUAACUACGUG